rnacentral:rRNA from 1 species
CCUACGGGUGACAGCAGUGGGGAAUAUUGCACAAUGGGGGGAACCCUGAUGCAGCGACGCCGCGUGAGCGAGGAAGUAUUUCGGUAUGUAAAGCUCUAUCAGCAGGGACGAAAAAAGACGGUACCUGACUAAGAAGCCCCGGCUAACUACGUGCCAGCAGCCGCGGUAAUACGUAGGGGGCAAGCGUUAUCCGGAUUUACUGGGUGUAAAGGGAGCGUAGACGGCAAGGCAAGCCAGAAGUGAAAGGGCAGGGCUCAACCCUGGAAAUGCUUUUGGAACUGUGGUGCUGGAGUGCAGGAGAGGUAAGUGGAAUUCCUGGUGUAGCGGUGAAAUGCGUAGAUAUUAGGAGGAACACCAGUGGCGAAGGCGGCUUACUGGACUGUAACUGACGUUGAGGCUCGAAAGCGUGGGGAGCAAACAGGAUUAGAUACCCGUGUAGUC